rnacentral:sRNA from 15 species
AUGUACCACUCGUACGCUGCGGUUUCUCCGCGCCGUCCGCGCCCACCUGACGACUGCUCGCUACGUUUGUUCGCC